UACGUAGGGGGCAAGCGUUGUCCGGAAUCACUGGGCGUAAAGCGCACGUAGGCGGAUUGUUAAGUCAGGGGUGAAAUCCUGGAGCUCAACUCCAGAACUGCCUUUGAUACUGGCGAUCUCGAGUCCGGGAGAGGUGAGUGGAACUGCGAGUGUAGAGGUGAAAUUCGUAGAUAUUCGCAAGAACACCAGUGGCGAAGGCGGCUCACUGGCCCGAUACUGACGCUGAGGCACGAAAGCGUGGGGAGCAAACAGG
rnacentral:rRNA from 1 species